rnacentral:lncRNA from 1 species
AUGUUGUGCCUUUUGUUUUAGAGAGGUUGAAGAUCUUAAUCAUGUGUUCUUCCAGUGUCGCUUCUCGGAACAAGUAUGGAGGAAAAUUUGUUGUUGGAUGCAGGUAGCUCACUUUAAUUUUGAAGGAAGGUUGCAUCACUUUAACUUGGUUGGUGCUUUUGUGAAAAGUAAAAAAGGGUCAAAGUUUCGGCAUUUAAUUUGGCUCGCUACAACGUGGUGUAUUUGACAUCUUCGUAACAACGUCAUAUUUAGGGGAGCUUUGCCAAAUUUGAGUUCUCUUGUGGAUCAAAUUAUCUAUAUCUCAUGGUUUUGGUUUUUAGGUAGAGGUGGGUGUAAU